AGAAUUAUUUUUGUGAAUUUGGUUAACAAAAAUUGGUUCAACAAUUUUUCGACCGCGGUACCGCCUGACACCUGUGUAUUUGUUAUAAGAAUGUAUUUGUUUGAGUAAGUUUGUGCAAAAAAAUCGAAUCAGAAUAAUUUACCUAAACGGGGGCGACGUUACAGCCUGGAGUAAUAAGUAGUUGAAACGGUCAAAACAAAGAGACGCACACUCAUCAAAAAUGCACGUAAGAUUAUACUCCUAUAAAUUGUAUAAUCUACUUUUACUAACAAAAGUUAGGAAGAGUCAACUUCAACUAGUAAAAGUUGAUUUAAAUUUUUCAAAUCAGCUUUUACUGCUCGUUUCAGUUGGAGUUGACUCGAACUAGGAAAAGUCAAUUCUAACUGAGAAUCAACUUGAACUGUAACAUAUAUAUUAAUCAUAUAGGUAUGCAAAGUCCGCAGAUAGUGUGCUACUUUUUUUAUAAACAAAAUGGCGCCUGAAAAUCGUGUUUUUUUCAAUUUUUGCUCUAUAACUCCAAAUAUUUUAACUUUACACCAAAAACAUCAAAAUAAAAAUUAACCGUAAUUAAAUUCUGAAUAGAGACAUGUUUUCCCGAUUUACUUUGACGAAACUUUCCCCGGAAAAUGCGGGUUUUUCCAACAAAAUCUUUAAUUUUCAACUAAAACUUUAGAUGAGUAAUUGUUUAUCAAUAAUUAAAUAACUUGGUAAUAUAAAAGCUGAUGAGCCCCGUCUUGCCAGGGCGUCAGCCCGUUCAUUGGCUUCCACACCUGUGUGUCCCGGUACCCAUACCAACUUAACCCUGUUAGCCAAAGCAACAUCAUCCAGUUCUCUUUUGCACUUAAGAACCAGCUUAGAGCAGAUCUUGGGCGCUUCCAAAGCCCUUAGCGCUGUCUGGCUGUCAGAGCAGAUAGAGAUGGUCCUUCCUGAGCAAGCCCUCUCUGUAAUCUCUUAAGCAAUGAUGGGCUUUAAUAAGUACCUACAGAAAAAGAUGUAGAGGAUUGCACGACAGAAAAAUCCAGGUACCCGAAGGGGAUGUAGUCCAAAUAGAAGAUGGUACAGCGAAACAUCAAUGAAGAAAUAGUAUAUCUUAAGUGAAUGCAUUAUAAAUAUUAUUAGGGCAAUAAACGUUUUUUCUUCUUUUGUACAGACAUGACUGUCUGUUCCUUCAAUGUGCCUGUAGUAAGUUGUCGUUCCAUCGUUUUCGUGGUCUUCCCACUGAUCGUCUUCCUAUUGGGGAACCGUCUCUCGCCGUCCUUACUACUCUAUUAUUUGUUGUCAUUCGGCUUAUGUGGUCAUUCCAUUGUAUUCUUCUUUUUCUCACCCAGUUAUUAAUGUUGUCGGCCUUGCACCUCCGUCGUAUAUCUGUACUUUUAGCUCUGUCCCAUAGCGUCUUACCAUCCAUUUUUCGGAGGGUUUUCAUCUCCGCUGUUUCGAGCAAUCUUUUUGUCCUCUCUGUGGGGAGAGAUUAAAUGUCCAGCAAACGACGGCAAUGUUGCCAGAUUCCUUUUAGCGGGAAUUUUAAAAUUUUAUAGCAGUUUGGUUUUAAAUUUGACAGUCCUGUUUUCUCAAGUCAAAAAUCUUAACCUUACUUUUACAAGUGAUUAGGAUUAUUAUUUUAUUUACAUGUAAAUUGAAACAAUAAAUAUUGUGCUGUGUCAUAAUUUCAAACUCAUUAUGUUGCAGUAUUUUCCAGUUGAUAAAAUUGCAAUUCAAAAACUUUUAGGCAGAUUUGCACUGUAAAGAUGGCACAGAAAGAGAACAAGAGUACAAGAACAUGAAACAUCUUAUUAUGAAUGUAUAUGUAUGUGAUCCUCAAAAAAUUAUUUUACAAAACAAGAUAGAGAAAGAGCUUUAAAAUCCCAAGGAUCCUGCAAAAUGGUUAUUUGGUGUACUAGUUGAAUAAUAAUAUCUAAAAAUAUUCAAACUAUUUUAAAACACAUUAUGGGCAUGAGGAUGAUAUAGAGCACUUACAUAAAUACCAAAAUCAGAUAAAUAUCUUCAAAGUUUAUUUUGAGACUUUCUUCAACAAUUAAACUUCAGACUGUUCAGGAUAGCAUAAUAGCAUAGGAGGCGAAAUAAAAAGAAUUGAUUUACUUACAAGAAAAGAUAUCACAAACAUUAAACUCUAUUAUGGCAUUGAUUUGAAAGAUGGGUAUAUGUACAAUGAUGAUGCAACCAGUGUUUAUUUUUGGGUUGAAUGCUUACAGACUCAUGUCCAAUAUUAUUUUACAAACAACAGGGCAUACUAAUGGAUAUUCAUUCUGAAUUUAACAUUUAUGAUUUUUGUCUUAUUUUCCUUAAUACUGUGCCAAAAGGAAAUGUUAAUUAAGUUUGGUAAAUCCUUUAUCGCAAUCGAUGGAACUCAUGGGCUCAAUUCCUAUGACUUUGAACUUAUGACAGUAUUAGUAAAAGAUGAAUUUGGGAAUGGAUUUUGUACUGCUUUCUUAUUUUCAAAUAGAAAAGAUACCUACUUUAA